CUUAUGAUACUUGUUUUUCUUUUUUCCUUUUCCUUUUUUUUUUUUUUUUGAAUGAAAAAUGGAGGUUUCGUGACUUGAUUCUCGAUACAUGGACCAUGAUUAUGAUAUAUAAUAUAUGAUCAAAGAAAGAAAAGGAAGAAGACGAUGAAGGAAGAAAACAAGAAAGAAACAAGGAAAUAAAGUAUAGUGAUCUGGGGCGUGAAGGUUAAAGUGUAGAUGAAGACAGCAUUAAUGGGGAGAGCAGAUGUGUAGAUGAGGAGUAAUGGCUCAAGCAGAGGACUUGCAGUUGCAGGUUGUAAAUUAUAGGGUACAAUUUAUUUAUAGAUAUGUAUAUAUAUUAUCUUUUUCUUGAGAAUAUGUAUAUAUAUUAUCUCUCACUGCAAUAAGUUAAUCCUCUAGAAACUUGAAUUUCUUAAUAUUGCAAAAGUAAUGAACUUCUUGGUGGACUAUCAAGUACAUCAGUAAUGAAACAAUAUCAAGAAUUUAGAGAUUUUCGGUCUAAUGUAGUUAAAGCAAAGAGACAUGACACUAAUUUGUUGUUCAAUCAACCAAAACUUCCUUCAAGAAUUAUUAAUUACAAAAGUAACCAGUUAGGUAUCAAUCCAUUGACCCUUAAGCAAAUUUUUUCUAGUUAUAAUAGUAGAAUGUUUUCAUGCAAAUAAAGCAAUAGGCAAGGGAAGGGAAGGUGCAUCUAUGAAAAAUGUACAGUGAAGUCAUUAGGAUAGAAACGUUAUACUUUAACAAUUAGCUUUGGUUACUAAAAUUUUGAAAAGUUAGUCCCCGAAGCCCUUGGGUCGAGGAUUAUUGUUUGGACCAAUCCAUAGCAUGCUCAGAUUCCUUCAUAGAGGUACAAAUAUGAUGGUAACAGUAAUACACAGCUGUAGUAAAUAAAUGGGUGUUUCUCACUUUCUUGGUUAAUGAAUGUCUGUACUUUCUGCCUGCUUAGGAAGAGGACACAUGUCUUUUCUUUUCAUUGUGCUACAAUGAGAAUGCCAAUACUUUACAGCUUUCAAUAUUUGUUUUGGUGCAGUUUGGGUAGCUUCGAAUAAUAACUUCUUCUUUUUUAUCUUUCUUUUUCUGUUUUUAUACUUCUCUCCCUUCCGCUUAGAGCCCAGGAUCAUUGAAUCUUUUUUUUUUAAGUCCUUAAUUGACAUAACUAUUAAUACUGCUUUUCCGCUAGGCUAGAAUCUAAAGUUCAUACAAGGUUACUACCAGUUUAUGCUAUGUACUUAUAAAUAUGCAUAUAAACUAUGUUAUAGUUCUAAUAUACAAUAUCAGGGGGUCUCUUUCUCUAAUCCUCUGGACUUCUGCCUCUCCAUGAUCUAUUUAUCAAUUUUUCUUUAAGAAAAUAAAAGAAAGAAAGAAAGAAAAGAAAUUUACUGUGUGCAUUACUCAUCUACUAGAGAGGGGAAAAGAAACAGAAAGGAAAAGAAAAGAAAAGAAAAAGUCAACUAUAUUACGAAUCAACCUGGGUUUCAUGGCAAAUAGAAUUUAAUGGGAUAUGAAGAUUGAAGAAAUUAUGGAUGAAAGAGCAGUGAUAGAGUAGUGAGUACUGACAUCCCUCGCCAAAUGUAACAUGGGUAAUGUAAUGAGUUCUGGCAUUUGCAAUUGCAGCACCUUACCUACGCUACCAAACUCAUUCAUUAUUCAUUAUGGCUUUUAUGUUUGAACUUUUUUCUUUUAAUGUUCGACUUCAACUGCAUGCAUCAAAUUUUAUAAUACUAAAAUUUUCAAUUAAAGCUCUCUCUCUCUGUCCUAGACUCAGAUUAAAGAUCAGUUGGCUGUUUUCUGAACCUAUGGCUAUAAAUGAGAUGGUUGACUUCCUGAUAAAAAUGGAUUUGCUUCUUCAUUUAUGAACAAUUGAUCUUGGUUUCUCAGUCUUCCUUUUAAUUUUGUGUUUAAAAUGUUUCUCAGGAUUUGCAUGCCUUGUUGGACAUUGACACAAGCUUAAUAGUGGGUAGAAAUUUUGAAAAAGAAAGUGUUUUGCUU
rnacentral:lncRNA from 1 species